AUCUGUUGAAAACAGCAUUGGAAACAAAGCAAUCGGAUAUAUGUUGAGUGCGGUAGACAGAUUUAAGAGUUUAAGCCAUUUGUGUGCGUUAGGUAUUGAUACAUUUUAAAUACAUUUUGGAAAACAAAAAUUUUCUACCAAAAAACUGUGGCCAACUGUGGGCAGUUUGUCGGCUUUGGAGUGGGUGUGGCACAUUUUGAUAAGGCACUACAGAUUUUGGCGGAUUGUGGACUUGGCACCCCACUAAAACAAACUUGCACUCCGCAGGAAGCCCAGGAAUCGUGCAGCCAAGUCUGAAUGAUAGGUACAUGGACGGAUCCACCUAUACUCGUACGUGCGUCCAAAGAUGAACAAUCGCACAGUGCAGCCACGCCUACUAUGACAUCCACAAUCCGCGAGAAUCCCACGACCUCAACCUCCACGCAAUGACACCAGAACUAGGCAAUGAAAAAGGGAUUUCUGCACGCCAUUUUCAGUUUUGACAGGCGCAAAAUUCAUUUUGGAGCUGUAGGUAAAACGCGUUAACAGUGUUUCUUCUUUCGUCAUCAAAAGUUCCAAGCUUUGUUCCAGCGAAUUGCAAGAAGAGACAGUCGCACGUUUCCCAAUACAAAUUCAGGAUUUCAAAAUCGUUCACCAUAACUCGUAAUCAAAUAUGUGCCUCUGACCGCAAUAAAGGGUCUGUCAGAGACCCGAAAAGGGGUAUUACUGGCCACAAUAAAAGGGACACAGGAAAGUCUGUAGGCGCGCACGCUCAUUAACAUGAUAACAGCUUCAUUCCAGCGAAUUGCCAGAAGAGACAGUCGCACGUUUCCCAAUGCUAAUUCAGGAUUUCAAAAUCGUGCACCAUAACUCGUAAACAAACAUGUGUCCCUGCCCGCAAUAAAGGUUCUGUAGGCGCGCAUACUAAUCCUUACCAAGUUCCAUCAAGGAGGUUAAACUCACCGAAAACUCACAAGUAUACCUGUUAUUUAAACUCGAAAAAUAAAGUCAGAAGAUCAUUUUGUAGCAUACUAA